ACAAGGGGUGCUGCCCUACGGCGGCUGAGAGUGCGGUGUGACCGCUCAACCCUAUGACCUGAUCCGGGUAAUACCGGCGGAGGGAUGUU
rnacentral:ncRNA from 1 species